UACGAAGGGGGCUAGCGUUGCUCGGAAUCAUUGGGCGUAAAGCGCACGUAGGCGGAUUGCUAAGUCAGGGGUGAAAUCCUGGAGCUCAACUCCAGAACUGCCUUUGAUACUGGCGAGCUUGAGUCCGGGAGAGGUGAGUGGAACUCCGAGUGUAGAGGUGAAAUUCGUAGAUAUUCGCAAGAACACCAGUGGCGAAGGCGGCUCACUGGCCCGGUACUGACGCUGAGGUGCGAAAGCGUGGGGAGCAAACAGG
rnacentral:rRNA from 1 species